AUCUGCCGCCGGUUUUUUAUCCAAAUUUACCCUCUAUUUACACUUGCAUUUUCAUCUGCCUCGAUCACUCUAUCCAUGACAAUCGCCUUUUCCAACUAAUUUGCCUUUUCGCGGGUAUCUACGCUUCGUCUGGAGUAUUAUCUACUUCCGUUCUUAUCCUCUAAUUCCACACACACUUGCUUUCCGUACUCAAAUCGGUAACUGACAUGGCAAAAAUUAACACAUUUAUUUCGUCUUAACCCACUUUCGGCAUUUUUCAGCUGCACAAAAAGGGAACAAUUUCAAAGAAUUUAGACACUACCAGCAGGUAUAUGUGUGUAAAAUAUUAUAAUUCAUUGAGUUAAUACAAUUUCCUCUAUAAACUCGCAUUCUAUUCAUAGUGCUUACUCCCAUAAAACUUGUUAUCCCGAAACCAUAUCUCCUGUUACCUUUUACAGCCGCACCACGAUCGCAAUUUAUUUUAA